rnacentral:tRNA from 1 species
CAAAGUGUAGCUUAAAUUAAAGUAUCUGGCUUACACCCAGAAGAUCUCACCAUAAUUGAUCACUUUGA